AAUAUAGAAUUCCGCAUAGAUUAAUUUUAAUGGUUUUAGUCGAUGAUUAGCACUAAGGUUCAUCAACAUAUUCGAAUCUUUUCUGGUUCUUAGAAAUAUUUGCAGUUUUUGUCGACUUCUCAACGAAUUAAGUAUAUAAUAUUGUUGUGAACUUCGUAAUAACGAUGAUUAACCCCUUCUUUUUGUUCUUCUUUCUAUAUACUUUAUUUUUGGAAUCACAAAUAUAAGUUUUACCAAUACAGGACGAACAAGUGGAAUUGAUCCGAAUCGAAAAAUGCCUACAAAUCUUGCCAGAUCAUCAAACUUCAGUAAAUAAAACAAUUUCAACACCGAUAAAUGUAAAAAUAAAAACUCGCCUGCGGAAGAUUGUUUUAAUUAUUUAAAAUUGGCUUUAUUCUAGCAAAAGACUUUUGGAUAUGAAACUCAAAAAAAAGAGGUAUAAAUAUAAACCACGACAAACUUAUAGAUGAAUGGAUCGUACACGGAUUAUGGGCCACAAAGUAUUCUGGAAUAAUUUCGGGGAAUCGCAAGAAGAAAAAUAUUGAAUUUCAAUAUGAAGUAUUGAAAAAUAAUAAAUUAUUUAAAAAACUUCACUUAAUGUGGUUCUUGAUUCUCAAUACUCAUAAUUUUAACGAUGAAUCGUUUUGGAAGCACGAAUGGGAUGCCCGUGGGUCUUGCUCGUCUCGUGUUGCAGCGCUGAAUAAUGUUGAGAAAUACUUUGGAAAAUAUCUUGAAAUGUAUAAAGAAUUGAAUAUUAAUUCAAAACUUGAUAAUAGAAAUUUUAAACCUGGAUCUACUGAUCUGCUGGGAAAUAUUGUUGAUUACUAUCACGUCAGAUUGAUAAAAAAAUUCGGCUUACUGUCAUUAAAAACAUUAAAAGAGAAGAGUGGUACUUAAAAUAAAUACAUAUAUGCUAUGAUCUACCAUUGCAAUUGAUGGAUUAUAGACGUACAAACUUGUCAGAUGAUAUUAAAGAGAAAAAACACUACUUAUAAGAAAAUUUUCUUGAUAUAAGAAAUCAUAUU